CAUACCCAACUUUGAUUGUAAAUGGAGAAGCACAGCAGCCAUGGCUUGAGAAAGAUAAAAUGACCAUGAGCUCAGACUCCUCAGGAAUGAGUGUCUGGUUGACUACAGCAGGAGAAGAAGAGUAAUAUGAGUACUUCAGUCCAGUCACCUGAUGAGAGAUUCCUGAAGGGAGAACUUGCAUCUUCAAAGCAUUGGAGGUAGAAGGAAGACAGGCAGAAGGACAUCCCAGAAUCAACCCAGAAUGUGGUGGAAGUGACUGCAUCAACCCUGAGCCGACACACCCAGAAGCCUUGCAGACUUCUACUUCCUGCCUUGGAAUCCUGACAAGCCACUACUUAAGCAAAUGGACACGCAUGAAAUUUGGUGCCGUGACUCGGAUCGGGGGACCUCCUUUGGGAGAUCAAUCCCCUGUCCUCCUGAACUUUGCUCCAUGAGAAAGAUCCACCUACGACCUCAAGUCCUCAGACUGACCAGCCCAAGAAACAUCUCACCAAUUUCAAAUCUGGACCCCACUGAAAAUCAGACUGUUCAACUCACCUCGCAGCCACUCCCAGAGCCCCUGGAACUCUGGCCCAAGGCUCUCUGACUGACUCCUUCCCAGAUCUUCUCAGCUUAGCAGCUGAAGACUGACACCGCCCGAUCGCCUCAGAAGCCUACAGGACCAUCACAGAUGCUCUAGGUAACUCUCACAGUGGAAGGUACACAUCCAGAUGGCCAGUUCCUGCCUUAACUGAUGACAUCCUACCACAAAAGAAGUGAAAAUGGCCCGUUCCUGCCUUAACUGAUGACAUUGUCUUGUGAAAUUCCUUCUCCUGGCUCAUCCUGGCUCAAAAGCUCCCCCACUGAGUACCUUGUGACCCCCACUCCUGCUCGCCAUAGAACAACCCCCCUUUUCCCUUUACCUACCCAAAUCCUAUAAAACAGCCCCACCCCUAUCUCCCUUCGCUGAUUCUCUUUUCCGGACUCAGCCCGCCUGCACCCAGGUGAAAUAAACAGCCUUGUUGCUCACACAAA